GACGAAGGGGGCUAGCGUUGUUCGGAAUUACUGGGCGUAAAGCGCGUGUAGGCGGUUGUUCAAGUCAGGUGUGAAAGCCUUGAGCUCAACUCAAGAAAUGCACUUGAUACUGGAUGACUAGAGGACCGGAGAGGAUAGUGGAAUUCCCAGUGUAGUGGUGAAAUACGUGAGAGAUUGGGAAGAACACCAGUGGCGAAGGCGGCUAAUCUGGGACGGUUUCUGACGCUAAGACGCGAAAGCGUUGGGGAGACAAACAGG
rnacentral:rRNA from 1 species